rnacentral:rRNA from 1 species
UACGUAGGGUGCGAGCGUUAAUCGGAAUUACUGGGCGUAAAGCGUGCGCAGGCGGUGAGCUGUGUCCGAUGUGAAAGCCCCGGGCUUAACCUGGGAAUGGCAUUGGAAACUGGCUCGCUGGAGUGUGGCAGAGGGGGGGUGGAAUUCCGCGUGUAGCAGUGAAAUGCGUAGAGAUGUGGAGGAACACCGAUGGCGAAGGCAGCCCCCUGGGUCAAGAUUGACGCUCAUGCACGAAAGCGUGGGGAGCAAACAGG